GAUGAACGCUGGCGGCGUGCCUAAUACAUGCAAGUCGAGCGAACGGACGAGAAGCUUGCUUCUCUGAUGUUAGCGGCGGACGGGUGAGUAACACGUGGAUAACCUACCUAUAAGACUGGGAUCACUUCGGGAAACCGUAGCUAAUCCCGGAUAAUCUUUUGAACUGCAUGGUUCAAAAGUGAAAGACGGUCUUUCUGUCACUUAUAGAUGGAUCCGCGCUGCAUUAGCUAGUUGGUAAGGUAACGGCUUACCAAGGCAACGAUGCAUAGCCGACCUGAGAGGGUGAUCGGCCACACUGGAAGUGAGACACGGUCCAGACUCCUACGGGAGGCAGCAGUAGGGAAUCUUCCGCAAUGGGCGAAAGCCUGACGGAGCAACGCCGCGUGAGUGAUGAAGGUCUUGGGAUCGUAAAACUCUGUUAUUAGGGAAGAACAUAUGUGUAAGUAACUGUGCACAUCUUGACGGUACCUAAUCAGAAAGCCACGGCUAACUACGUG
rnacentral:rRNA from 1 species